CAGGGAGACAACAAAAUGUUUAAUAUUAUUAUUUUGUCACCUUAGGUCGAUCGGUAUCUCACGUUCUUAAUUUAUUAAGAAUUUUAUUUCCUAAGUUUUUCUAGGUCACACCCAUUUUUUUUCCUGGGCCAUUAGCUCAGGUGGUUAGAGCGCACCCCUGAUAAGGGUGAGGUCCCUGGUUCAAGUCCAGGAUGGCCCAUAUCUCUAUGUUGGGGGUAUAGCUCAGUUGGUAGAGCGCCUGCUUUGCAAGCAGGAUGUCAGCGGUUCGAGUCCGCUUACCUCCACUGAUUACCACCUCUUCCAUAACAGGUAGAAAGGGAAUGUUUUGAGUUGUGAUCAUUAUUCUGAACGAAUCUAGCUUCCUAAUGAAAUCAUUAAGAUGCUGGACUCAUUGAAUUAAUUUCAUUGUUUUCAGAGAACCUUGACAACUGCAUAGAUUUUUUUAAAGACAAUAAGCAUCUUUAAUGAUGCAGAUUUAUUAUUUGUGCGAAUGCAUUAAUAACAAUUCUAUUAAGCUGAUGCUUCAAUUUUUGAAGUUAUU
rnacentral:tRNA from 1 species